rnacentral:rRNA from 1 species
AAAUCCUAAGGCCGACGGGAGAAGCAUUGUUAAGGAACUCGGCAAAAUGACUCCGUAACUUCGGGAGAAGGAGUGCCAGUAAGAUGGCCGCAGAGAAUUGGCCCAAGCAACUGUUUAGCAAAAACACAGGUCUAUGCAAAACCGAAAGGUGAGGUAUAUGGGCUGACGCCUGCCCGGUGCUGGAAGGUUAAGGGGAGAGGUUAGCGCAAGCGAAGCUUUGAACUUAAGACCCAGUAAACGGCGGCCGUAACUAUAACGGUCCUAAGGUAGCGAAAUUCCUUGUCGGGUAAGUUCCGACCCGCACGAAAGGCGUAAUGAUUUGGGCACUGUCUCAACAAUGCACCCGGUGAAAUUGAAAUACCAGUGAAGAUGCUGGUUACCUGCGCCAGGACGGAAAGACCCCAUGGAGCUUUACUCCAGCUUGAUACUGGGAUUCGGUAUUGCAUGUACAGGAUAGGUGGGUGGCUAGGAAAUGGUAACGCCAGUUGCCAUGGAGCCAAUGUUGGGAUACCACCCUUGCAGUACUGGGUUUCUAACCAGCAGCCGUGAUCCGGCUGGGGGACAAUGUCAGGUGGGGAGUUUGACUGGGGCGGUCGCCUCCGAAAGGGUAUCGGAGGCGCUCAAAGGUUCCCUCAGAAUGGUUGGAAACCAUUCGAAGAGUGCAAAGGCAGAAGGGAGCUCGACUGCGACACCGACGGGUGGAGCAGGUACGAAAGUAGGACUUAGUGAUCCGGUGGUAUAAAGUGGGAUUGCCAUCGCUCAACGGAUAAAAGCUACCCUGGGAUAACAGGCUUAUCACUCCCAAGAGUUCACAUCGACGGAGUGGUUUGGCACCUCGAUGUCGGCUCAUCGCAUCCUGGGGCUGAAGUAGGUCCCAAGGGUUGGGCUGUUCGCCCAUUAAAGCGGUACGCGAGCUGGGUUCAGAACGUCGUGAGACAGUUCGGUCCCUAUCCGGCGUGGGCGUAAGAUAUUUGAGAGGAGCUGUCCUUAGUACGAGAGGACCGGGAUGGACUGGCCGCUGGUGUAUCUGUUGUCUUACCAAAGGCAUAGCAUAGUAGCCAAGCCGGGAAGGGAUAAACGCUGAAGGCAUCUAAGCGUGAAGCCCCCCUCAAGAUGAGAUAUCUCAUAACGUCAAGUUAGUAAGACCCCUUGAAGACGACGAGGUAGAUAGGGCAGAGGUGGAAGUGUGGUAACACAUGGAGCUGACUGUUACUAAUAGGUCGAGGGCAUAACCAA